AACGAACGCUGGCGGCAUGCCUAACACAUGCAAGUCGAACGAGACCUUCGGGUCUAGUGGCGCACGGGUGCGUAACGCGUGGGAACCUGCCCUUAGGUUCGGAAUAACUCCCCGAAAGGGGUGCUAAUACCGGAUAAUGUCUUCGGACCAAAGAUUUAUCGCCUUUGGAUGGGCCCGCGUUGGAUUAGCUAGUUGGUAGGGUAAAAGCCUACCAAGGCGACGAUCCAUAGCUGGUCUGAGAGGAUGAUCAGCCACACUGGGACUGAGACACGGCCCAGACUCCUACGGGAGGCAGCAGUGGGGAAUAUUGGACAAUGGGCGAAAGCCUGAUUCAGCAAGGCCGCGUGAGUGAUGAAGGCCAUAGGGUUGUAAAGCUCAGUUACCCGGGAUGAUAAUGACAGUACCGGGAGAAUAAGCUCCGGCUAACUCCGUG
rnacentral:rRNA from 1 species